CCACCGUGUCCCUUUCUCCUCUGAGAUGUGCUGGCAAAUGCUCUGCCAGCCCUGAAUUGUUAUUGCGAGGUGACGCUUCCGGGACCCUGCCGUACCCAGAGCCAGCUGCACCAUCUGCGUCGUCGGUCGUGAGUGGGUUUCUGGCUGCACACAGAGGCUCCGGCAUGGCAGGCUUGCUGACUGCCGGAUCGUCCCUCCUGUGUGAUGCCGGGAGAGGCCCCGGGCUCGGGCCACUGAGAGCCGUGCCAGGGAGCGAGCGUGCCAAUCGCCCGGCCGGCACCAUGGCCCGCCUCGCCCACGCCCUCUGGAGUCUCUGCGUCACCGCCAUCCUCGUCACCUCAGCCACACAAGGCAUGUGCAGAUAAACCCUGAAAUGGCAGAUGCCCCAGAGGUGGACCCUGCCCUCGGAACAGUGGGAGAAAGCGAGCUUGUCCCAAUUGACUGCCUUGAUUAUGAGGAGAACAGCACCAUCAU